GAUCGAAGUUCUGAAUCUUGACGGUUGCAGAAAGAUCACUGAUACAAGUUUGGUAGCUAUUGCAGACGCGUGCUUGUUACUAAAUGAACUAGAUGCUUCAAAGUGUGCAAUCACUGAUAUCGGGCUUGCAGUUCUUUCGUCUUCAGAGCAGAUAAAUUUGCAAGUUCUUUCCCUGUCGGGUUGUUCCGAAGUAUCAAACAAGAGCCUGC
rnacentral:misc_RNA from 1 species